GAAUGUAAGGUUGAUCUGACUGGGACAUCAGUCACCCCACUGAUCACAAGAGUUGAUAGAGCUGAUCUGGCUGGCUAGGUGAUGUCCCCUUUCUCCCUCACCCCUCCAUGAAUGUCCUUUCUGCAGCUGCAUGCUCCCCUAGGUCAAGGAAGAUGACCUUCCCCUACACAGGCAGACCGUUCUUUGGUCAAGGGUAUAUGAGUAGCUGUGCUCCCCUGCUGAAAUUACCCAACAAGCUCUCGAGGUGAAUUUAUAGGAGAACAUAGGGCAGUCAUGCUUUCAAGACUCCAGACACAUCUGAAUGAGGCACACAUGUAGCAGUCUGCCUUUCUUU
rnacentral:snRNA from 1 species